rnacentral:rRNA from 1 species
GUUAAGCGACUAAGCGUACACGGUGGAUGCCCUGGCAGUCAGAGGCGAUGAAGGACGUGCUAAUCUGCGAUAAGCGUCGGUAAGGUGAUAUGAACCGUUAUAACCGGCGAUUUCCGAAUGGGGAAACCCAGUGUGAUUCGUCACACUAUCAUUAACUGAAUCCAUAGGUUAAUGAGGCGAACCGGGGGAACUGAAACAUCUAAGUACCCCGAGGAAAAGAAAUCAACCGAGAUUCCCCCAGUAGCGGCGAGCGAACGGGGAGCAGCCCAGAGCCUGAAUCAGUGUGUGUGUUAGUGGAAGCGUCUGGAAAGGCGCGCGAUACAGGGUGACAGCCCCGUACACAAAAAUGCACAUGCUGUGAGCUCGAUGAGUAGGGCGGGACACGUGGUAUCCUGUCUGAAUAUGGGGGGACCAUCCUCCAAGGCUAAAUACUCCUGACUGACCGAUAGUGAACCAGUACCGUGAGGGAAAGGCGAAAAGAACCCCGGCGAGGGGAGUGAAAAAGAACCUGAAACCGUGUACGUACAAGCAGUGGGAGCACGCUUCGGCGUGUGACUGCGUACCUUUUGUAUAAUGGGUCAGCGACUUAUAUUCUGUAGCAAGGUUAACCGAAUAGGGGAGCCGAAGGGAAACCGAGUCUUAACUGGGCGUUAAGUUGCAGGGUAUAGACCCGAAACCCGGUGAUCUAGCCAUGGGCAGGUUGAAGGUUGGGUAACACUAACUGGAGGACCGAACCGACUAAUGUUGAAAAAUUAGCGGAUGACUUGUGGCUGGGGGUGAAAGGCCAAUCAAACCGGGAGAUAGCUGGUUCUCCCCGAAAGCUAUUUAGGUAGCGCCUCGUGAAUUCAUCUCCGGGGGUAGAGCACUGUUUCGGCAAGGGGGUCAUCCCGACUUACCAACCCGAUGCAAACUGCGAAUACCGGAGAAUGUUAUCACGGGAGACACACGGCGGGUGCUAACGUCCGUCGUGAAGAGGGAAACAACCCAGACCGCCAGCUAAGGUCCCAAAGUCAUGGUUAAGUGGGAAACGAUGUGGGAAGGCCCAGACAGCCAGGAUGUUGGCUUAGAAGCAGCCAUCAUUUAAAGAAAGCGUAAUAGCUCACUGGUCGAGUCGGCCUGCGCGGAAGAUGUAACGGGGCUAAACCAUGCACCGAAGCUGCGGCAGCGACGCUUAUGCGUUGUUGGGUAGGGGAGCGUUCUGUAAGCCUGUGAAGGUGUGCUGUGAGGCAUGCUGGAGGUAUCAGAAGUGCGAAUGCUGACAUAAGUAACGAUAAAGCGGGUGAAAAGCCCGCUCGCCGGAAGACCAAGGGUUCCUGUCCAACGUUAAUCGGGGCAGGGUGAGUCGACCCCUAAGGCGAGGCCGAAAGGCGUAGUCGAUGGGAAACAGGUUAAUAUUCCUGUACUUGGUGUUACUGCGAAGGGGGGACGGAGAAGGCUAUGUUGGCCGGGCGACGGUUGUCCCGGUUUAAGCGUGUAGGCUGGUUUUCCAGGCAAAUCCGGAAAAUCAAGGCUGAGGCGUGAUGACGAGGCACUACGGUGCUGAAGCAACAAAUGCCCUGCUUCCAGGAAAAGCCUCUAAGCAUCAGGUAACAUCAAAUCGUACCCCAAACCGACACAGGUGGUCAGGUAGAGAAUACCAAGGCGCUUGAGAGAACUCGGGUGAAGGAACUAGGCAAAAUGGUGCCGUAACUUCGGGAGAAGGCACGCUGAUAUGUAGGUGAAGCGACUUGCUCGUGGAGCUGAAAUCAGUCGAAGAUACCAGCUGGCUGCAACUGUUUAUUAAAAACACAGCACUGUGCAAACACGAAAGUGGACGUAUACGGUGUGACGCCUGCCCGGUGCCGGAAGGUUAAUUGAUGGGGUUAGCGCAAGCGAAGCUCUUGAUCGAAGCCCCGGUAAACGGCGGCCGUAACUAUAACGGUCCUAAGGUAGCGAAAUUCCUUGUCGGGUAAGUUCCGACCUGCACGAAUGGCGUAAUGAUGGCCAGGCUGUCUCCACCCGAGACUCAGUGAAAUUGAACUCGCUGUGAAGAUGCAGUGUACCCGCGGCAAGACGGAAAGACCCCGUGAACCUUUACUAUAGCUUGACACUGAACAUUGAGCCUUGAUGUGUAGGAUAGGUGGGAGGCUUUGAAGUGUGGACGCCAGUCUGCAUGGAGCCGACCUUGAAAUACCACCCUUUAAUGUUUGAUGUUCUAACGUUGACCCGUAAUCCGGGUUGCGGACAGUGUCUGGUGGGUAGUUUGACUGGGGCGGUCUCCUCCUAAAGAGUAACGGAGGAGCACGAAGGUUGGCUAAUCCUGGUCGGACAUCAGGAGGUUAGUGCAAUGGCAUAAGCCAGCUUGACUGCGAGCGUGACGGCGCGAGCAGGUGCGAAAGCAGGUCAUAGUGAUCCGGUGGUUCUGAAUGGAAGGGCCAUCGCUCAACGGAUAAAAGGUACUCCGGGGAUAACAGGCUGAUACCGCCCAAGAGUUCAUAUCGACGGCGGUGUUUGGCACCUCGAUGUCGGCUCAUCACAUCCUGGGGCUGAAGUAGGUCCCAAGGGUAUGGCUGUUCGCCAUUUAAAGUGGUACGCGAGCUGGGUUUAGAACGUCGUGAGACAGUUCGGUCCCUAUCUGCCGUGGGCGCUGGAGAACUGAGGGGGGCUGCUCCUAGUACGAGAGGACCGGAGUGGACGCAUCACUGGUGUUCGGGUUGUCAUGCCAAUGGCACUGCCCGGUAGCUAAAUGCGGAAGAGAUAAGUGCUGAAAGCAUCUAAGCACGAAACUUGCC